GUGGUUAUGGCGAAGUGGUUAACGCACCGGAUUGUGGCUCCGGCACUCGUGGGUUCAAGUCCCACUAUCCACCCCA
rnacentral:tRNA from 1 species